UCUCGAAGAAAUGAUAUUUUCAUGUAAUCAAAUCCUUCAUCAUCCACUAAAAAUCCCUUAGAAUCUGAUACAGUGACUGGGAGAGCACCAUAAGCAAUAAGCUUCUCCAGAACAUGCAUUGCAAUCUUUCCAGAACCACUUACAACACAUCUUAGUCCUUUGAGUUCCUUAUUCAUGUCUGCAAGCAUAAGCUGAGCAAAGAAAACCAGCCCAUAGCCAGUAGCUUCAGUUCGAAGGCUAGAGCCAGACCAAAAUAUCCUUGGCCCUGUAAAACUUCCCUGAAAAUGACCAACUAGACGUCUAUACUGCCCAAAGAGAUAUCCCAUUUCUCGAGUACCAACACCCAUCUCCUCUGAAGGAAGGUCCUUGUCAGGACCCAGAUACCUAAAGAUCUCAUUCAUGAAACUUUGACAAAAGCGCAUAAUCUCAUUAUCACUUUUUCCUUUUGGAUCAAAAUCACUUCCUCCUGCAGCUCCUCCCAAUUUGUAUGGUGAUAAGGCAUUCUUUAAUGUCUGUUCAAAACCAAGAAACUUAGCAAUACUUAAAUUCAUAGAAGGAUGAAAACGAAUGCCACCCCUACAUGGACCCAAUGCCUGGUUAAAAUGUACUCGAAACCCUCGAUUGACAUGUGUCUCACCCCUGUCAUCCACCCAAGGAACUCGAGAAAAGAAGCAUGCGUUCGGGUUCUAACAAGCGCUCCAUUAUGUUGACAUAAUGAGCAUUCUUUGCAAUUACUCUUUCUAGACCAUGGACAGCUUCUUGCACUGAUUGUAUAAACUCAGUUUCAUGGGGAUCCCUUUUAAGUGCAGCUUCAACAAUUGAUCCAGCCGUUUUUGACAUGAG
rnacentral:misc_RNA from 1 species